GGCGCAGAGCUCUUGGAUCAAGAGGAGGGCCACUAAGAUGAUCAGAGGGCUGGGGCACCUCUCCUGUGAAGAAAGGUGGAGAGAACCAGGCUUGUUUAGCUUGGUGGAAAUCUGGACGGCUUCCCAGCCCCCUGGCCGACAGCUCCACCGCGGUCACCACCGUUGGCUGCACCUUUGUCUCUGGAGCGGUGCGAGCAUCGAGCCCUAGGGAGUGCUGGCAAAAGCCUCUUGCUGAUCGAGGUGCGGCUCUAAUUUCUGGAGUACCUGAGCCGCUCGCGGGGAAAGGAGGCUGCAACAGGAGGAGAAGUGCAGACACUUCCCGGAGCUCCUGCAGAGACACAGCAGCAUACAGGAUCAGCCUCAGCUCCUGGGGCCUUCCUUCAGCUCCCUGCUCCCGCUCCUCUCCUCUGCCGGCCUAUCAGCACUGCUUUGCCCCUGAAGGACCAGGGGCCCCAAAGCCAGUGAUCCGCAACUCGUGGCAAACAGAGGCCGUAUUCCUCUCUCACAGCCUCUGUGUGUGCUAUGGCAGGUGGCAGGCCAGGAGGUGAGAAGAGCCAGGGAAGGUGUGCAGCACCCCCCAUCUACCAAAGAGGAGCUGAAGGAGCAGACAGAAAUGUGAAAUGAUGGCACCCGAAGGGCUGUGCUCCAGAUCACUGCACACACAGAGGCUUUUGCUUCCCUCCCUGUGGAAGCACUCAAGGCCAGGCUGGGUCGGGCUUAGAGCAACCUGGUCUAGAGACAGGUGUCCCUGCCUGCAGCAGGGGAUUCGAACCAGGUGAUCAGAACGGUCCUUUCCAAGCCAAACUUUUCUAUGAUUCUACCAUUCUGUCAUUGG